rnacentral:lncRNA from 1 species
CAUUUAAGUUACUAAGUCUAUUGAGAGCACAUUUUCUCACUCUCUUUCAUCAAAACGGUGAGCUGAGCUUGCUACUCAUCUAAGACUAUGAGAUGAAGUGUACUGCCCUCUUGUGGCCUUUAGUGGGAUUUUGCCGUUUGUUUUGACAUGCAGGCUUGAGUGACCUCUAGUGGCCGAAUUUUCAUACGCAUCCAAUGUGCUUCCGCAUAUUCCACGUUUUGUGCCUGUGUGUGAACAUGCAAGACUUGCAAAAGCUGUUGGUUGGCUCGAGUCGGCCUGGCUCAUGUCCUGUUUUCUUUACCCCGCUGUUAGAAGACACUUUCGACCACAGAAUAAAUUGUAUCUUAGCUCUCUGUAAAUAGCACAUUUCUAUGGUGGCGUCGCUAACUAUCCUAAAGGUUUGUUUUAGCUCCAUCGAAUACAAAGAGGCACUCAAUAUUAAGUGUUUUGUUCGAGCACAAACGUUAAUUUAGAGCUUAAAAUACGAUAUUUAUUGUUAAUAUGCGUUGACAACAAAAACAUUUAGUUUUACUUUGCUUUGACAAAACAAAACCGAGUAAAGCAUAUGUCAAUAUUAGCCUAUUAUUUCAGACACUGCGUCUAGGUUCACAGAAAUGAAGAAAUAAUGCCAUGUUACGUUAAAACUAGGCCAGUAGAAUACUGAUGUCUAUAUGAAGAGAGGAAGUGCAAACAUGUUCCAGGAUCUGAUAUAAACUGGGAGUAGGGACACUAAGAGGUUUUAUGUCUGAGAAUGCAACACUGUGGACGUCUGGUUCUGGCUCCAAGUUCUUAAUGGGAUCUGGAACAAAGUUAAUGGUGCAGACCAAAAAACAAGAACCGCCUGCCUAUUACAAAUUUAAUAAGUCAUGUUUGGCAACCGACUUCACAAAAUAUGAUGAUGUAAAAUUCCAAGAUGUUACACCAGUGCGAUAUGCAGAACGAAGUUACUACAGCAGCUUCACCUUUAAUGCUUCAGAAUACUGCCCGCAGAAAGACUGUAAUCAAGGAUCAUCCAGUCAAAAUGCUGAUUUUGAAACGGGUAAGUGUGCUUUUAUUUGCACAUUAAUAGUCUGCUGUGCAUUUCAUUUCAUUUGCAGUCCAUUACUACUAGUCUGUUACUGCCUGUUGUUUGAACUGAAACAUCCAGCACUGUCAAACAUUAACUACACUCGCAUAGAUUUCAAAUUGUGAAACUACUAGCUUCGAAAAAAAAAAAAAAUUAAACACAUUUUAAAAAAAUACUUGAAAGUGCUGGAUUAUACCACAAAAUCCAUGGUAAAACCAAUAGACAUACUA